rnacentral:piRNA from 1 species
UCCUGCGAGUAUAUUGCAGCCCUGGUCUC